UUAUCACAAAAUGUCUACACCAAUCGUUUAAUGUUCUACGGAAAUGCAGAAGCAAAACUGCAUUUCCGUAGAACAUUAAACGAAUUAAUACUGCGCUCUUUAGGCUU
rnacentral:pre_miRNA from 1 species